UAGGGAAUCUUCGGCAAUGGGCGAAAGCCUGACCGAGCAACGCCGCGUGAAUGAUGAAGGCCUUCGGGUUGUAAAAUUCUGUUAUAAGGGAAGAAUGGCUCUAGUAGGAAAUGGCUAGAGUGUGACGGUACCUUAUGAGAAAGCCACGGCUAACUACGUGCCAGCAGCCGCGGUAAUACGUAGGUGGCGAGCGUUAUCCGGAAUUAUUGGGCGUAAAGGGUGCGUAGGCGGUUCGGCCAGUCUGAUGUGAAAGCCCAUAGCUCAACUAUGGAUCCGCAUUGGAAACGACCGAGCUCGAGAGCGGAAGAGGCAGGUGGAAUUCCUGGUGUAGCGGUGGAAUGCGUAGAUAUCAGGAAGAACACUCGUGGCGAAGGCGGCCUGCUGGUCCGUUUCUGACGCUGAGGCACGAAAGCCAGGGGAGCGAACG
rnacentral:rRNA from 1 species